UGGUUGGGGAACUCUUGAACCCUCCAAAAUGAGCUACAAUAGGGGGAUGGCGGCAGUGGGAUGGCUGUGCAAGAAGGUGACACUAGAUAGGUGGGGUUUUGGGAGGAGAGGCAGACGUCGGAUGGGUGGGGUUUUUGGGAGAAGAGGAGGGAUGACGGAUGGGGGUUUGGGGGGGAGGAGGAAGGUAGGUGGGGGAUUUGGGGGGAGAGGAGGGCUGGUGGGGAGUUUGGAGGGAGGGGAGGAUGGAGGGAUCGAGGGUUUGGGAGGAGAUCGGUCGAUGGCAGUCAACAUCAGCUUGGGAGAAUCCGAA
rnacentral:lncRNA from 1 species